UACAGAGGUGGCAAGCGUUGCUCGGAAUCACUGGGCUUAAAGGGCGUGCAGGCGGCCGCGCAAGCAUCUUGUGAAAUCCCCCGGCUCAACCGGGGAACCGCUUGAUGAACUGCGCGGCUCGAGGGAGACAGGGGCGACCGGAACUCAGGGUGGAGCGGUGAAAUGCGUAGAUAUCCUGGGGAACGCCGGUGGUGAAAACGGGUCGCUGGGUCUCAUCUGACGCUGAGGCGCGAAAGCCAGGGGAGCGAACGGG
rnacentral:rRNA from 1 species